GAUGAACGCUGACGGCGUGCCUAAUACAUGCAAGUCGAGCGAACAGACGAGGAGCUUGCUCCUCUGACGUUAGCGGCGGACGGGUGAGUAACACGUGGAUAACCUACCUAUAAGACUGGGAUAACUUCGGGAAACCGGAGCUAAUACCGGAUAAUAUAUUGAACCGCAUGGUUCAAUAGUGAAAGACGGUUUUGCUGUCACUUAUAGAUGGAUCCGCGCCGCAUUAGCUAGUUGGUAAGGUAACGGCUUACCAAGGCAACGAUGCGUAGCCGACCUGAGAGGGUGAUCGGCCACACUGGAACUGAGACACGGUCCAGACUCCUACGGGAGGCAGCAGCAGGGAAUCUUCCGCAAUGGGCGAAAGCUUGACGGAGCGACGCCGCGUGAGUGAUGAAGGUCUUCGGAUCGUAAAACUCUGUUAUUAGGGAAGAACAAAUGUGUAAGUAACUAUGCACGUCUUGACGGUACCUAAUCAGAAAGCCACGGCUAACUACGUG
rnacentral:rRNA from 1 species